rnacentral:rRNA from 1 species
CGAAGGGUGCAAGCGUUAAUCGGAAUUACUGGGCGUAAAGCGUGCGUAGGUGGUUUCUUAAGUCUGCUGUGAAAGCCCUGGGCUCAACCUGGGAAUGGCGGUGGAUACUGAGAAGCUGGAGUGCGGUAGAGGAGGGUGGAAUUCCCGGUGUAGCGGUGAAAUGCGUAGAGAUCGGGAGGAACAUCAGUGGCGAAGGCGGCCCUCUGGACCAGCACUGACGCUGAGGCACGAAAGCGUGGGGAGCAAACAGGAUUAGAUACCCUGGUAGUCCACGCCCUAAACGAUGCGGACUGGACGUUGGGCACAAUUCGGUGCUCAGUGUCGAAGCUAACGCGUUAAGUCCGCCGCCUGGGGAGUACGCUCGCAAGAGUG